rnacentral:tRNA from 1 species
AUGUAGCCAAGUGGAUCAAGGCAGUGGAUUGUGAAUCCCCAUGCGCGA